rnacentral:rRNA from 1 species
UAAGGAAUAUUGGACAAUGGAGGCAACUCUGAUCCAGCCAUGCCGCGUGAAGGAAUAAGGCCCUAUGGGUUGUAAACUUCUUUUAGACGGGACAAAACCCCUUUACGUGUAAAGGGUUGAUGGUACUGUCAGAAUAAGCAUCGGCUAACUUCGCGCCAGCAGCCGCGGUAAUACGAAGGAUGCAAGCGUUAUCCGGAAUUAUUGGGUUUAAAGGGUGCGUAGGCGGACUAAUAAGUCAGUGGUGAAAGCCUGCAGCUUAACUGCAGAAUUGCCAUUGAUACUGUUAGUCUUGAGUACAGUUGAGGUAGGCGGAAUGUGUCAUGUAGCGGUGAAAUGCUUAGAUAUGACACAGAACACCGAUUGCGAAGGCAGCUUGCUAGGCUGUAACUGACGCUGAGGCACGAAAGCGUGGGGAGCAAACA